AGCCAAUACCCAUGCUUUGCUCCAAAAGUAGCUGACGGUGGUGGCUCAACAAAAAAAGACCAUUUCAUUAUUUUGUCAUCUAGCAUCUCUUGCAAUUGCUCAAAUGAUGCAACCACCAUUUCAGCAAUUCACGAUGGGUUCUUCUUCAUGAGAAAGGCAGUGAUGUGAUGGUAAGCUUCUCUAACUCAAUCUUUCUGGCGCUGGUCACUGAGACCAGUUGUGGAUAUAAAUUGACACUUGCACAGAUGCACUCCAGGUGUUUGAUGAAAUGACAGAGUGACUUCUUGAGAUUUUGUUGAGAUGAUAAUUCCACCCAUUUUGAUCCCUUAAGCUUCCAAAAUUAUAGUUUUUGCUCCAAAGCCUUGCUAAGUAUGAUUUCCUACAAAAUCUCCACCAAGCACAUUAAACUAACCAAUUUCACAUGAAAACAAUGCAAAUAAAGGUAGACUAUAUAUGCUAAAUAUGAAUCUAUCAAACUACCUCAAACCUAUCUUUUGCUAGUCCUCGAGCAAAAUUAGAAACAAAAAGAAAAACAAAACAAAACAAAAAACUAACUAAACCACUUUCGCAGGUAAACUCGAUGGCACUUAGCAUGUGCCACAAGCCAUUAAACCUCUAGGUGUCCCUAGUAGGAGGAGUUGUGUCUCCUGAGGGUUUACCAGUUACGAUACCCACAAACGUUUUACUACAAAACAAAAGAGCUAAAGACACCACUUUAAACAAGCUAAUAAAAAC